rnacentral:rRNA from 1 species
UGAAUUGCAGAAUCCCGUGAACCAUCGAGUCUUUGAACGCAAGUUGCGCCUGAAGCCAUUAGGCUAAGGGCACGUCUGCCUGGGCGUCACGCAUCGCGUCACCCCUCCCCCAGUUCUGGUGGACGGGGUG